rnacentral:miRNA from 1 species
GGGAGUCGGCUCGGCUCGGCUCGGCUCGGUGCAGCGGGAGUCGGCUCCGCUCGGCUCGGCUCGGCUCGGUGCAG